rnacentral:rRNA from 1 species
UGGGGAAUUUUCCGCAAUGGGCGAAAGCCUGACGGAGCAACGCCGCGUGAGGGAGGAAGGCUUUUGGGUUGUAAACCUCUUUUCUCAAGGAAGAUUUCAGACGGUACUUGAGGAAUCAGCAUCGGCUAACUCCGUGCCAGCAGCCGCGGUAAUACGGAGGAUGCAAGCGUUAUCCGGAAUCAUUGGGCGUAAAGCGUUCGCAGGCGGCGAUUCAAGUCUGCUGUCAAAGCCCGCAGCUCAACUGCGGACAGGCAGUGGAAACUGAAUCGCUAGAGUGCGGCAGGGGUAGAGGGAAUUCCCGGUGUAGCGGUGAAAUGCGUAGAUAUCGGGAAGAACACCAGUGGCGAAAGCGCUCUACUGGGCCGCAACUGACGCUCAGGGACGAAAGCUAGGGGAGCGAAAGGGAUUAGAUACCCCCGUAGUCC